GAGCUGUGGAUAGGGGUGAAAGGCUAAACAAAUCCGGAAAUAGCUGGUUCUCCCCGAAAACUAUUUAGGUAGUGCGUCGUACGGACACUUGCGGGGGUAGAGCACUGUAAUCGUUGGGGGGGUCAUUGCGAUCUACCCCGCGAUAGCAAACUCCGAAUACCGCAAAGUGAUAUACGGCAGACAGACAUCGGGUGCUAACGUCCGGUGUCAAGAGGGAAACAACCCAGACCGCCAGCUAAGGUCCCAAAUGCAUGGCUAAGUGGCAAACGAGGUGGGAAGGCAUAGACAGCUAGGAGGUUGGCUUAGAAGCAGCCAUCCUUUAAAGAAAGCGUAAUAGCUCACUAGUCGAGUCGUCCUGCGCGGAAGAUGUAACGGGGCUCAAGCCAUGAACCGAAGCUGCGGAUGUGUCUUUGACACGUGGUAGGGG
rnacentral:rRNA from 1 species